rnacentral:rRNA from 1 species
GACGAACGCUGGCGGCGUGCUUAACACAUGCAAGUCGAACGGAAAGGCCCUGCUUUUGUGGGGUGCUCGAGUGGCGAACGGGUGAGUAACACGUGAGUAACCUGCCCUUGACUUUGGGAUAACUUCAGGAAACUGGGGCUAAUACCGGAUAGGAGCUCCUGCUGCAUGGUGGGGGUUGGAAAGUUUCGGCGGUUGGGGAUGGACUCGCGGCUUAUCAGCUUGUUGGUGGGGUAGUGGCUUACCAAGGCUUUGACGGGUAGCCGGCCUGAGAGGGGGACCGGGCACAAUGAGACUGAGACACGGAACAGAGUACUACGGGAGGCAGACGCAGGGAAUCUUACGCAACGGGCGAAAGCCUGACAGAGCAACGCCGCGUAAGUGACGAAGUUCUUAGGAUCGUAAAACGCUGGUAUUAGGGAAGAACAAAUGUGUAAGGAACUACGCACGGACUGACGGUACCUAAUAAGAAAGCCACGGCUAACUACGUG